CCAUGAUUUUCCACUUGCCCUGUCAAAUCCUGCUCUCUUCACUGAUAGAGACGAGGACAUGAUUUUCCUUUGAGAGCAGGAGUAUUAACACUACUAACAGUAUGUUCUCUGCGGGAGAUGAAGAGUCCUGGAGAGAAAACUCUCCUCUGCCUCCUUCUGCUUCUUCUGCAAAGGCCUCCAGGUACCAUACUGGGAGGACACCAGGCAUGGAGAGAGCUUUGACAUCAUGAGGCCACGGUAUUCAGGAAGACACUUUCAAAGAUUUGCCAUUGAAAAUUGCAAAAGGAACAUCAUUAUCAGCUUCUGACUGCAGCAACCAGAUACCAGACCAACUCUUUCUUCCUCCUUCCAUGAAAAGGACAGCAAAGACCAGGUAACCUUCAGCACCUCUUGGCAAGGAAAUGUUGGUGAAAUUGGAAGGGUGGAUGAGUGCUGGAAGAUGUGCACCAGCAAGCAAGCCAUGGGAUGUGAUGAAACAAACCCAGACUGAGGUGCCCAGCUGCUGCAGAUGGCCUUGGUCUUCAUCUUCAUCACUGACUGCCAUUACCUGGUGGCAGAAAAGAAAGAGGCAUGUUUGGAUUUUGUAGGUGGCAGCCCCUGUGAACCAAAGACCACAAGAAGGAAGGAAGGAAAGAAAGAAGAAAGCAGACUUUGGGAACGUAGCAGCUCAAGGUGUGAGCUGGGGUGAGCCUGUCCCAGCUUUGGCACAGCCUUCAGUCUGGCCUUGCUCAUAGUUCUCAAACCUCUGACACACAGCAUCUGAUGGUUUUCUCCUAAUGAUGACAGCUCAUUGCUCCAGAUAUACCUGUGAUUACAAGUGCUAUGCUUACUUUUCCUUAACUUUCUCUCUGGAGUAUGCAAUCAGUCCUGCCUUACGGAGAGCAAGUGUAUAUGAGAGCUGGAAGGGCUUUGUUACCCUGCUAAUGGUACAGAAAACAGAUGGGGGCCUGGGAAUCAUUGAGUUCAAAGUAAUGGUCAGUCUGUGCUACAUCGUUCUCCCUGAGCAGGCAGCACUGAGAGCAUCUGAGGAGAUAACUUGGCACUACAUAGUGCAGCACGGUAAGUAAAUGACACCUGGAACCCCUUACAGCAUGAGAUGGCUUUUUACAUAUCCACAUACUGCUCUUUUG
ensembl:lncRNA